UACGAAGGGGGCUAGCGUUGUUCGGAUUUACUGGGCGUAAAGCGCACGUAGGCGGAUCGUUAAGUCGGGGGUGAAAUCCUGGAGCUCAACUCCAGAACUGCCUUCGAUACUGGCGAUCUUGAGUCCGGAAGAGGUGAGUGGAACUGCGAGUGUAGAGGUGAAAUUCGUAGAUAUUCGCAAGAACACCAGUGGCGAAGGCGGCCAACUGGACCAUUACUGACGCUGAGGCGCGAAAGCGUGGGGAGCAAACAGG
rnacentral:rRNA from 1 species